AUUGCAACAGCCGAUAGGAACAUUGCAAAUUCCCUCAAGGGAUUUGCAAAGAGUUUUUCAGAUUUGCAAAGCUAAUGAGGAAAAUUCCAAAUGAGUUACGAAGUCAAAAGAGAAACGCUUCACGUAGUUUACCUGUAACAGGUUUUGUCCACGAUUGUAGGUUAACUUAAAAUUCAAAACAAACUUCCCAAGAACUUGUUUAUAAAUUGGGAAAUAAAAGUUCAGAGAUCUUGUCUGAAUCAGUAGGAGUUUUCUUCUCUGAAGUUUUGAAAUAACAGACGUGCAGAAAUACAUAAACUAAAAAAGUUGUUUAAAUUUUAAUCGAGGGUUAGCGUUAACCCAGCUUUGAACAAUCAACCGUAGAUGCAUCAUCACCGGCGUGUGACGUCAUUUGCGGCCCGGGUUUAUUGUUAAAUGUCGAUAUGAAGUUAUACAGGGUGUCCCAAAAAAGUCCCCGUGUAGAGAUCACGACACCUUUGGGAAUUUAAUUUUUAUUGUACAUGAACGGCGGAAGUAUUUCAAAAGUCCCCUUCGUCCAAAUAAUGUAACACUUCGGUUACACUUUCAGUUAACGUACAAAUUCCCAGAGGUGUGACAACGCACGUUUAACAACAAAAGGGUGAUUUCUAUAGGGGAACUGGACUUUUUUUGGGACACCCUGUACAGACCAUUUGCAAAAUUACUAAAGACACAAUAGCCGGAAAUAAUGGUGGCAUCUUGGAACCCAGAACCUUUUUCAGACCUGGCAUUUUUUUGGCGUUGCAUAAUGCUCACAGGCACAGAAAAGAAUUUAUUAUGAAGAAUAGUUACUUGUGAGUAAACACAUGUUUUUAACUAUCCAUGGUUGAAUACUAAUACUAGCUGAAUAAAUAUAGCGAGAAAAAAAAUCGCCGUGAGAAAGUAGGAAGCGAUCCAAUUUUUUCAUGGCGGAUUUUUUUGAAGUGUGAAACUCACUGCUUGCACUUGCAAUAGACCCUUCCUCUUUUGAGUGAAACUUUGAUCUAGACAAGUCUGGAC